ACSGGAGGCAGCAGUGGGGAAUAUUGCACAAUGGGCGAAAGCCUGAUGCAGCGACGCCGCGUGAGGGAUGRAGGMYUUCGGGUKGUAAACCYYUUUCAGCAGGGAAGAAGCGCAAGUGACGGUACCUGCAGAAGAAGCGCCGGCUAACUACGUGCCAGCAGCCGCGGUAAUACGUAGGGCGCAGGCGUUGUCCGGAAUUAUUGGGCGUAAAGAGCUCGUAGGCGGUUUGUCGCGUCUGGUGUGAAAACUCGAGGCUCAACCUCGAGCUUGCAUCGGGUACGGGCAGACUAGAGUGCGGUAGGGGAGACUGGAAUUCCUGGUGUAGCGGUGGAAUGCGCAGAUAUCAGGAGGAACACCGAUGGCGAAGGCAGGUCUCUGGGCCGCAACUGACGCUGAGGAGCGAAAGCAUGGGGAGCGAACAGGAUUAGAUACCCUGGUAGUCCAUGCCGUAAACGUUGGGCACUAGGUGUGGGGCUCAUUCCACGAGUUCCGUGCCGCAGCAAACGCAUUAAGUGCCCCGCCUGGGGAGUACGGCCGCAAGGCUAAAACUCAAAGGAAUUGACGGGGGCCCGCACAAGCGGCGGAGCAUGCGGAUUAAUUCGAUGCAACGCGAAGAACCUUACCAAGGCUUGACAUGCACGAGAAGCCACCAGAGAUGGUGGUCUCUUUGGACACUCGUGCACAGGUGGUGCAUGGUUGUCGUCAGCUCGUGUCGUGAGAUGUUGGGUUAAGUCCCGCAACGAGCGCAACCCUCGUCCCAUGUUGCCAGCGGGUUAUGCCGGGGACUCAUGGGAGACUGCCGGGGUCAACUCGGAGGAAGGUGGGGAUGACGUCAAAUCAUCAUGCCCCUUAUGUCUUGGGCUUCACGCAUGCUACAAUGGCCGGUACAAAGGGCUGCGAUACCGUAAGGUGGAGCGAAUCCCAAAAAGCCGGUCUCAGUUCGGAUUGGGGUCUGCAACUCGACCCCAUGAAGUCGGAGUCGCUAGUAAUCGCAGAUCAGCAACGCUGCGGUGAAUACGUUCCCGGGCCUUGUACACACCGCCCGUCAAGUCACGAAAGUCGGUAACACCCGAAGCCCAUG
rnacentral:rRNA from 1 species